GCUUGGUUAGCUCAGUUGGUAGAGCGCUCCACUGGAAAUGGAGGUCCCUGGUGCGAUAGCGGGACCAGGCG
rnacentral:tRNA from 1 species